CGUAGCGUACGGCUCAGUAACACGUAGUCACCUGCCCUGGAGAAAGGACAACCUGGGAAACUGGGAUAAUCCUUGAUAGGUCAUCUCAUCUGGAAGGAGAGAUGGCUUAAAGGGGUACGCGGGCUUCUUCCGCGAAUUCGCUCCAGGAUGGGACUGCGUCCGAUCAGGCUGAUGGCGGGGUAAUGGCCCACCAAACCUGUAACCGGUACGGGCCUUGAGAGAGGUGGCCCGGAGAUGGACACUGAGAGAAGGGUCCAGGUCCUACGGGGCGCACCAGGCGCGAAAACUUCGCAAUGCGCGAAAGCGUGACGAGGUUAAUCCGAGUGACUUCCGCUGAGGAGGUCUUUUGUCAGCUGUAAAUAGGCAGGCGAAUAAGGGGAGGACAAGCCUGGUGUCAGCCACCGCGUAAAUACCAGCUCCUCGAGUGUUCGGGGCGAUUAUUGGGCCUAAAGCAUCCGUAGCCGGUUCCGUAGGUCCUCUGUUAAAUCCUACCGCUUAACGGUUGACCUGCAGAGGAUACCGCGGGACUAGGAGGCGGGAGAGGCGGACGGUACUCCGCGUGUAGGGGUAAAAUCCUUUGAUCCGCGGAAGACCACCAGUGGCGAAGGCGGUCCGCCAGAACGCGCUCGACGGUGAGGGAUGAAAGCUGGGGGAGCGAACCGGAUUAGAUACCCGGGUAGUCCCAGCCGUAAACGAUGCUAGCUAGAUGAUUCAUUCGCAAGUCGCGAAUGAAGUGUCGCAGGGAAGCCGUUAAGCUAGCCGCCUGGGGAGUACAGUCGCAGGACUGAACUUAAAGGCAC
rnacentral:rRNA from 1 species